ACCCGCUGAACUUAAGCAUAUCAAUAAGCGGAGGAAAAGAAAAUAACAAUGAUUCCCCUAGUAACUGCGAGUGAAGAGGGACAAGCUCAAAUUUUAAAUCCAUCGGGUUUUACCUGAUCGAGUUGUAAUUUGAAGAGGCGUUUUCUGUGUUUCUGAUCAGUCCAAGUCCUUUGGGAUAAGGCAUCAUGGAGGGUGAGAAUCCCGUCCGGUUGAUCAGAUUCGCUUUACGAUACGCUUUCUAAGAGUCAAGUUGUUUGGGAUUGCAGCUUAAAAUGGGAGGUAAAUUUCUCCUAAGGCUAAAUAACGGCGAGAGACCGAUAGCGAACAAGUACCGUGAGGGAAAGAUGAAAAGAACUUUGAAAAGAGAGUUAAAUAGUACGUGAAAUUGUUGAAAGGGAAACGAUUGAAGCCAGUCGUACCUAUGGGUAAUCAGCCUUUUGGGUGUGAUUUUGUGGAGCGUGAGGAGUUAAACGCCUUCAUGCCUGCAUAUUCGUGCACUUUGGGUGUACUUGCCCGUAUGGUUGGUUAACAUCAAUUUUGGUGGUCAUAAAAUGACUGGAGGAAUGUAGCUUCGAUCUCGUAUUGAAGUGUUAUAGCCUUCGGUAGAUGUGAUGAUCGAGAUUGAGGAUUGCAACGGAUACCCUUCGGGGCUACCUGUCUGAUCUCUGAUCGUUGCUCUGGUGCCGAAAGCUUGCUUACGGUUAUCAAAGUCGAUGGUCAAUAGGUUAGAACGGGUUAAAUUCGUUAAGGAUGUUGACGUAAUGGCUUUAAACGACCCGUCUUGAAACACGGACCAAGGAGUCUAACAUAUAUGCGAGUGUUAGGGUGAUUAAACCCUUACGCGUAAUGAAAGUAAUUUUGGUGGGAACAUUUUUGUGCACCAUCGACCGAUCAGGAUAUUUUUUGAUAGAUUUGGGUAAGAGCAUAUCUGCUAGGACCCGAAAGAUGGUGAACUAUGCCUGAAUAGGGUGAAGUCAGAGGAAACUCUGAUGGAGGCUCGUAGCGGUUCUGACGUGCAAAUCGAUCGUCAAAUUUGGGUAUAGGGGCGAAAGACUAAUCGAACCAUCUAGUAGCUGGUUCCUGCCGAAGUUUCCCUCAGGAUAGCAGAAACUCGUUAACAGUUUUAUGAGGUAAAGCGAAUGAUUAGAGGCCUUAGGGUUGAAACAGCCUUAACCUAUUCUCAAACUUUAAAUAUGUAAGAAGUUUAUCGUUACUUAAUUGAACGUGAACAUUCGAAUGA
rnacentral:rRNA from 1 species